CUGCUGAGAAAAGAUCAAUGGCAUGUGAAGCAGUCCAAGUGUGCAUUUGGCCAGCAACAGAUUGCUUAUUUAGGCCAUGUCAUCAACGCUGAUGGUGUUUCCACAUAUCCCAGUAAGAUAGGCAUGAUCAAGCAGUGGCCGACUCCGGGGAGUGUGAAGGAAGUGCGCAGUUUUCUAGGUUUAGUGGGCUACUACCGGAAGUUUGUGAAACAUUUCGGUAUCAUCGCACGCCUCCUUUUCAAUCUUCUCAAAAAAGGGCGCCCAUUUGUCUGGACAGACGAAACACAAACAACUUUCCAUCUGCUCAAAUAA
rnacentral:rRNA from 1 species